UGGGGAAUCUUCCGCAAUGGACGAAAGUCUGACGGAGCGACGCCGCGUGAGUGACGAAGGCCCUCGGGUCGUAAAGCUCUGUCGUCGGGGACGAACGGUCACAUCAGGAAAUGGGUGUGAAGUGACGGUACCCGAGAAGGAAGCCACGGCUAACUACGUGCCAGCAGCCGCGGUAAUACGUAGGUGGCGAGCGUUGUCCGGAAUUAUUGGGCGUAACGAGCGCGCAGGUGGGAUCUUAAGUCUGGUUGCAAAGUGCGGGGCUUAACUCCGUGAUGGGAUAGAAACGGGGAUUCUUGAGUACCGGAGAGGAAAGCGGAAUUCCCCGUGUAGCGGUGAAAUGCGUAGAUAUGGGGAGGAACACCAGUGGCGAAGGCGGCUUUCUGGACGGUGUCUGACACUGAGGCGCGAAAGCCAGGGGAGCGAACG
rnacentral:rRNA from 1 species